UAGAGUUUGAUCCUGGCUCAGAUUGAACGCUGGCGGUAUGCUUAACACAUGCAAGUCGAACGGAAACGAUACUAGCUUGCUAGUAGGCGUCGAGUGGCGGACGGGUGAGUAACGCGUAGGAAUCUACCUAAUAGUGGGGGAUAGCCCGGAGAAAUCCGGAUUAAUACCGCAUAAUCUCUAUGGAGUAAAGGGGCCCUCUUCUUGAAAGGUUUCGCUAUCAGAUGAGCCUGCGUAAGAUUAGCUAGUUGGUGAGGUAAAAGCUCACCAAGGCGACGAUCUUUAGCUGGUCUGAGAGGAUGAUCAGCCACACUGGGACUGAGACACGGCCCAGACUCCUACGGGAGGCAGCAGUGGGGAAUAUUGGACAAUGGGGGCAACCCUGAUCCAGCAAUACCGCGUGUGUGAAGAAGGCCUGAGGGUUGUAAAGCACUUUCAAUUGUGAAGAAAAGUUAAUAGUUA
rnacentral:rRNA from 1 species